AUGUUCACAACAAAUACAAAAGAAACCAGUUCAGCCCUGCAUCAAUUAAUAAAACUAGUUCAUAGAAAAAACCAAAUCAGGAAAUACACUCGCAAUAGGAAAUCAGAACAGAAUUUUAGAUUUAUCUUAUCCAUCAUUCACCAAAGACUAACAUUGAUAUUUUCAAGUGAAUUUAUAAUAGAAAGUUUCAACCUCUAA